AUUGAACGCUGGCGGCAGGCCUAACACAUGCAAGUCGAACGAGUGGCGGACGGGUGAGUAAUGUCUGGGAAACUGCCUGAUGGAGGGGGAUAACUACUGGAAACGGUAGCUAAUACCGCAUACCAUCAGAUGUGCCCAGAUGGGAUUAGCUAGUUGGUGGGGUAACGGCCCACCAAGGCGACGAUCCCUAGCUGGUCUGAGAGGAUGACCAGCCACACUGGAGCUGAGACGCGGUCCAGACUCCUACGGGAGGCAGAUGUGGGGAAUAUUGCACAAUGGGCACGAGCCUGAUGGAGCCAGACCGCGUGUAUGAAGAAGGCCUUCGGGUUGUAGAGUACUUUCAGCGGGGAGGCGUUACCCGCAGAAGAAGCACCGGCUGACUCCGUGCCAGCAGCCGCGGUAAUAC
rnacentral:rRNA from 1 species